GGGAAUGUGGCUCAGUGGUAGAGCACUUGCCUUGCAUGCAUGAAACCCUGGGUUUGAUCCCUCAGUACCA
rnacentral:tRNA from 1 species